ensembl:snRNA U2 U2 spliceosomal RNA
AUCACUUCUCAGCCUUUUGGCUAGGAUCAAGUGCAGCAUCUGUUCUUACCAGUUUAAUAUCUGAUAUGUUCUCUGUCCAAGGACAAUAUAUUAAAUGGGUUUUGGGAGCAGGGAGAUGGAAUAGGAGUUUGCUCUGUCCACCCUGCGCCUCGAACUGGUGUUGCAGUACCUCUAGGAAUGGUGCACCCCCA